rfam:Gasterosteus aculeatus cont1.000576, whole genome shotgun sequence.
UUUAAAGUGUAAUGUAAGUCGCUUUGGAUAAAAGCGUUUGCUAAAUGACCUGUA